GACGAACCGUCCGAACGUUAUUCGGAAUCACUGGGCUUAAAGAGUGCGUAGGCGGCUUAUCAGGCGGGAUGUGAAAUCCCUCGGCCCAACCGAGGAACUGCGUUCCGAACCGAUAGGCUUGAGGAGGAUAGAGGCGAGCGGAACUGAUGGUGGAGCGGUGAAAUGCGUUGAUAUCAUCAGGAACACCUGUGGCGAAAGCGGCUCGCUGGGUCCUUACUGACGCUGAGGCACGAAAGCCAGGGGAGCGAACGGG
rnacentral:rRNA from 2 species